UGGCUAUAAAUAAUCUCGCGCGGCGCGCGGCCUAUUCUAUUGGCCUGUAGUCACUGUGAUGUAGUUAGUGUGUUUAUUAGUGCACCCUAAACGACUGAAUGGCGACGAGCUGAGUUGUAGAGUGGAAAGAAAGAUGGUUCAAGCGGUGGACGCGCGGCCUGCUGGUAUACACACACACGCGCGCGAUGGACCAGUGCCAGUACACGAAUUGAUAACUAUAUUCAAUCGUGCAUACAAACAACAGCUAGUUUACACCAGAUUCUAAUAGACAGCCCAGAAGAAAAUUCCAAACCAACAAACAUCCGGUCCCUUGUCGUAGCAGCAGUGCGCGCGCGAGGGAAGCAACACUUCCAGUUGAUGAUAUGUUAAUGAGGGCGUUUCGAUUCGAGAUGAAAACCAGUUCCUUUCAGACAAGCUUAUUGGAAAGCUAAACUACAUACGAGUGAACCGAACGAAACGCGCUGGGAUGGAAACAGCCGAACGAAUAGCUGCGACCAGAUAUUUAAGUAUGAUAAUUUGUGAAGUGA